UCCUCCUUUUUCUCUCUUUUCUCUUAAUUACUGGGCGUAAAGGGCGCGUAGGCGGAUGGCACAGUCAGAUGUGAAAUUCCCGGGCUUAACCUGGGGGCUGCAUUUGAUACGUGUGAUCUAGAGUGAGGAAGAGGGUCGUGGAAUUCCCAGUGUAGAGGUGAAAUUCGUAGAUAUUGGGAAGAACACCGGUGGCGAAGGCGGCGACCUGGUCCUUGACUGACGCUGAGGCGCGAAAGCGUGGGGAGCAAACAGG
rnacentral:rRNA from 1 species